rnacentral:tRNA from 1 species
GCAUUGGUGGUUCACUGGUAGAGUUCUUGCCUGCCGUGUGGGAGACCCGGGUCCGAUUCCCGGCCAAUGCA